rnacentral:misc_RNA from 1 species
GAAAGAUUGGAAAGGAGGCAGCGUGAAGGUGAUAUACGCAACUUUAUAACUAAGUAUCACAAAUUGAAUUUGAUGGUUUAUUUAGGCAUCGAGUGCAUUGCUGACUGUUUCUGGCCCCUUUUAGACACAGAACAAAAAUGAAAAACACUCUCAGUUCCUUUGGUAUUUUUUGAGUAUGCCCUACUAUGUUACUUGUUCCAGUUUUAAAUGGGCUGGCUGGG